rnacentral:sRNA from 1 species
GCUGGGUGUGGUGGCACACACCUGUAAUCCUUAGCUACUUGGGAGGCUGAGGCAGGACGAUUGCAAGUUUGAGGUCAACCUGGACAACUUAGUAAGACUCUGUCUCAA